AUCUGCAUGAAGAAUACAGAUACGGGUUUCGUCGGUGCAACGAAUCAGGGCUACGCGCGCGCGACGGAGGGGGCCGUUAGCGACAUGCUCUUUCCCUGCUGACCGUUCAGCGUGUAGUUCUUGUCCGCAAACUCCGCGAACUCUUCAGGUGAGCAAUCCAGCUUGGCCGCCUUGGCAAGAUCACCCACAAGCUGGCUGUUCUCUUUGAUGAAACCCUUCAUGCCGCUGCUGCAGGUUGACCCGCUCCGAGGCUUGCCAGAAAUGACUCUGGCAAUGAACGUGCUAGCGAGAGCGAUGACCUCGGGCUUCAGCACGAGCCGCCGAAACGCCUCGUCCUCUGCCGCUCGCUCCUCAAGCAUCUUGCUGGUCUGCAGCUGC
rnacentral:lncRNA from 1 species